rnacentral:rRNA from 1 species
UAGGGAAUCUUGCGCAAUGGGCGAAAGCCUGACGCAGCGACACCGCGUGGGGGAUGAAGGCCUUCGGGUUGUAAACCCCUUUCAUGAGGGAAGAACACUGACCUAACCUCAGGAAGAAGCACCGGCUAACUCCGUGCCAGCAGCUGCGGUAAUACGGAGAGUGCAAACGUUGUUCGGAUUCACUGGGCGUAAAGGGCACGUAGGCGGCUCGGCAAAUCGGUCGUGGAAUCCCGACGCUUACCGUCGGAACGGCGGCCGAAAAUACCGGGCUCGAGGGCGUGAGGGGUCACUGGAACUCCUGGUGAAGCGGUGAAAUGCGUAGAUAUCAGGAGGAACGCCGGAGGCGAAAGCGAGUGACUGGCGCGUUCCUGACGCUGAGGUGCGAAAGCUAGGGGAGCAAACAG